rnacentral:rRNA from 1 species
GACGAACGCUGGCGGCGUGCCUAAUACAUGCAAGUGGGACGCAAGGGAACACACUGUGCUUGCACACCGUGUUUUCUUGAGUCGCGAACGGGUGAGUAACGCGUAGGUAACCUGCCUAUUAGCGGGGGAUAACUAUUGGAAACGAUAGCUAAUACCGCAUAAUAUUAAUUAUUGCAUGAUAAUUGAUUGAAAGAUGCAAGCGCAUCACUUGUAGAUGGACCUGCGUUGUAUUAGCUAGUUGGUAAGGUAAGAGCUUACCAAGGCGACGAUACAUAGCCGACCUGAGAGGGUGAUCGGCCACACUGGGACUGAGACACGGCCCAGACUCCUACGGGAGGCAGCAGUAGGGAAUCUUCGGCAAUGGACGAAAGUCUGACCGAGCAACGCCGCGUGAGUGAAGAAGGUUUUCGGAUCGUAAAGCUCUGUUGUAAGUCAAGAACGUGUGUGAGAGUGGAAAGUUCACACAGGACGUAGCUACCAGAAAG